GCAGCAGCAGCUUCAAGCUGAUCAAGAUCUACUUACUGAUAGAUGGACUGAGGUCCUGGCAGUCGAGGAAUAUGGACUCGAGCGCCCAAUCAAAAGUUACCUGAGGCGCAGGUUGUUACCUCAAUUCGAGGACGAGGUACUAGAGCCUAUACUACCAGCACAGGAUGCGGCUGACCGACCACCUCAUGGACGAGACAAAGCGGCGUAUCAAUCCGAACACCAGCCCGCACCCCGUCACCGAACAAAUAGAAACAUGAAGGCCCGUGGCUACAUGCAUGACCUGUGAGACGAAUUGGAAAACAAAGAAGGACAGUCAAGAUCGAUCUACGGAUCGCGGGGGCGCGCCCCAACACGUGAGAUGACCGCCAUGCCGGAUAUACUAAAUACAAAUCCGUCUGGGCCCAAUACACUAGACCAGAUUCAUCCGAACUGCGUCGCGAUGUACCCCGGCAUAGAGGCGCUGCACACCCCCUAUGCUUCACUGACCAAGUAAUGGAGCAUGAAUUCCCAGAAGGGUUUAAACCCGUAAAUAUCGAACCAUAUGAUGGGACAACAGACCCCUCGGUAUGGAUUGAAGAUUUCCUUCUCCACAUUCACAUGGCCUGCGGCGAUGAUCUCCAUGCCAUCAAGUACCUCCCACUAAAACUCAAGGGAUCAGCUCGGCAUUGGCUGAAUAGUCUUCCGGGAACCUCCAUUGUCAGUUGGGAGAAACUGGAAGACACAUUCCUUGACAACUUCGAGGGAACUUACGUGCGACCACCGGACGCUGAUGACUUAAGUCACAUAACUCAACAGCCCGGAGAGUCAGCCAGAAAAUUCAGGACUCGGUUCUUAACUAAAAGAACCAAAUCAUCGACUGCCAGAUGCCGAAGCCCUAGCGGCCUUUAAGCAUAACAUCUGUGAUGACUGGCUCGCUCGAGACCUCGACCAAGAGAAGUCGAAGUCCAUGGCAGCCCUUACGACACUCAUGAUCCACUUUUGUGAGGGCGAGGAUAGCUGGUUGGCUCGUAGCAAUAGCACAUCAAGAAAUCCUGGCACAUCAGACACCAGAGAUAGCAACGGCAAGCCCCGACUCAACAGACACAGGCGUCACAAUAAUGGCGAUAACACCAAAGACACGGCCGUCAAUGAUAGAUUCAGUGGCUGCAAGUCCGGUCAACGGAAAAAGCCAUUUAAAAGAAACAAUCCGGGCCCGUCCUGUCUGGACCGCAUACUCGAUCGUCCAUGUCAAAUCCACGACACUCCCGAUAACACAGCCAACCACACCAACAGAGAAUGUUGGGUAUUUAAACAGGCCGGCAAACUAAAUGCCGAAAACAAGGAAAAGGGGUCGCAUAGUGAUGACGGCGAGGAGCCCUGGCCACCGAACACAGGGGGGCAGAAGAUAUCCACCCCCCAAGUCAAAACGGUAACUAUGAUAUACGCCACCCAUAUUCCCAAGCGGGAGCAGAAGCGCGCACUAAGGGACGUCUACGCGAUGGAGCCAGUCGCCCCAAAGUUCAANNNNNNNNNNNNNNNNNNNNNNNNNNNNNNNNNNNNNNNNNNNNNNNNNNNNNNNNNNNNNNNNNNNNNNNNNNNNNNNNNNNNNNNNNNNNNNNNNNNNCCGGGCACCCGUUAGGUGUCAUGGACCCCUGUACACAUCGUUCGGGGCCGUAUGGGAAACCUCGGCCGGACUCCCUGCGGAUGGAACCUGGAUAGGCGAUAAACCUGGAUUGGAGACUUAGGUGAUUAGGUAGGUCGUGGCCGACACCCACGUUGGGCUUUCGCUUGAAGGUUGCCGAGUACAUGUCGUGUAAACGACGGUAAGUGGUGAGAGCGUGUAUGAAGAAGUACACCCCUGCAGGGUUAUCAUGAUCUAUUCGAAUAGCCGCGUCCGCGGUAAAGGACUACUUGGUUGCCUAUACAGUUCAUAGACAAGUAAAUGGGAACUACUAAAAGCCUCAAGAUAAGUGUGAGUGCCGAGGAUGGCUCUUCCGUAGGAAGAUGGAGGUGGAUCCUCGGUAGUGUAUUGAAGUGGUGAGUAGUGGACUCGUGUACGCAAAACCAUUUCAAGUUGGAGUCUCGUAGGAUAGCCUAGCCAAGAGUCAAAGCUGGCUUGCUGCAACAACUCCACCAACCCUUCUUGAUAAUGUGCAUGUAUGUAGGAUCUGAUGUAAGUCUUGCUGAGUACCUUUGUACUCAUGUUGCUAUAAUUUACAUUUUUACAGAAGACGCUGCAACCCCUUCUGAUGGGUUCUUCGUAGACGUUGACAUCAAUGAGUAGGCUAAGGCCCAGGUGGUGAUCCUGAGCUUGUGAAGGACCACGUAGUAUAGCUAGGCUUUCCAAGCCUCUUUUAUUUUACUAGUUAUCUGUACCCAGACAAGCUACUUCCGCUGCUGGUUUGUAUGACUGUAUGACUUGAAUGCUGGGUCGUGUGACCCGUACCUAUGUGUAUGUUAUGUAUGGCUCUCUGAGCCUUAAAUAAAGUGCUUGUGUCGUAGAGUCAUGUUGUGAUGCCAUGUUGUAUUUGCACAUAUCGAGCAUAUUGUGUGUAUGAUAUUGAAAUGCUUGGUAUGUGUGGGAUCUGACUAUCUAGUUGUUUAUCUUUAGUAGCCUCUCUUACCGGGAAAUGUCUCCUAGUGUUACCGCUGAGCCAUGGUAGCUUGCUACUGCUCUGGAACACUUAGGCUGGCCGGCAUGUGUCCUUCUUCGUUCCUGUGUCUGUCCCUUCGGGGAAAUGUCACGCGUUGAGUACCGGAGUCCUGUUAGCCCGCUACAGCCCGGUUUUACCGGAGUCCUGCUAGCCCAGUGCUACAGCCCAGACCCACUUGCUGAUGACCGACACGUUCGAAGCUGGGUCAUGGAUGCCUGUUCCUGUAAGUCUAUGCCUCUUUGGGUUUACAACUAGUCAUGUCAGCCCGGGCUCCUUAUCAUAUGGAUGCUAGCGACACUAUCAUAUACGUGAGCCAAAAGACGCAAACGGUCCCGGGAAAAGGUAAGGCGACACCCGUGGGGAUACCGUGCGUGAGGCCGCAAAGUGAUAUGAGGUGUUACAAGCUAGAUCGAUGUGACACCGAGUCGGGGUCUUGACAGAUCAUGUAGCAUGUUGUUAUCUUGCUCUAAACAUUGCUUCCUGAUGUUGAUUCCGGACAUGUUAGCAUUUUCACCAAGUCUGUGAUGCUGAUAUCUUUUACACUUUUGCCAUGCUUGUUUGAACCUGCUCUUGUGUGAUUUAGCCACAACUCAGUGUUCAUCUUUUGUCAAUCAUCUUGAGUAGAUUACUUCCAUGAGCUUUGUUGCUAUGUUGGAGUGCAGUAGCUUAGUUUCUUGUUGCAUUUUAGAUCGCUUCCUGCUGUUAAUCGCAGAAUUGUGCCAUUAUUGUUUUGCUUGUCAUUUCUAAACCGUGCAUCCGAUUUCGGUGAUCUUUAUAUCAAUUUCGACCAAGAUCAAAUCAUCUUUCCAGAGGCGCACUUGGUUUGCCAAGUUGAUGCCUUGAUCAAUCUUUUCCUUCCAGAGUUCGCAUAUGCAUUGCAUAUCACAUCCCGCAUAUCAUGCCAUGUUUUACAUCAUGUUGCUUGCGCAUUGCACCGUGGUUGAUUGUUGCUUCUUUUGCUUGUGUUCUUGCCUUGGGUAGAGCUGGGAGACGAGUACGUGAUCGAGGAACCUGUUCAGUACGCUUAUGAGGAUCAAGCUUUCGUCAACUCAAAGAACUUUGCAGGCAAGAUGAUCAUACCCUUGAAAUCACUUCUAUCUUUGCUUGCUAGUUGCUCGCUCUUUUGCUAUGCUGCGAUACCUACCACUUGCUUUAUCAUGCCUCCCAUAUUGCCAUGUCAAGCCUCUAACCCACCUUUUCCUAGCAAAUCGUUGUUUGGCUAUGUUACCGCUUUGCUCAGCCCCUCUUAUAGCAUUGCUAGUUGCAGGUGAAGAUGGAGUUUGUUCCAUGUUGGAACAUGGAUAAGUUGGGAUAUCACAAUAUCUCUUAUUUUAAUUAAUGCAUCUAUACACUUGGUAAAGAGUGGAAGGCUCAUCCUUAUGCCUGGUGUUUUGUUCCACUCUUGCCGCCCUAGUUUUUGUCAUACCGGUGUUAUGUUCCUUGAUUUUGUGUUCCUUACGCGAUUUGGUUAUAAUGGGAACCCCUUGAUAGUUCGCCUUGAAUAAAACUCCUCCAGCAAGGCCCAACCUUGGUUUUACAUUUGCACUAACAACCUAUCACCUUCCCUUGGGUUUUUGCGAGCCCGAGGGUCAUCUUUAUUUUAGCCCCCCGGGCCAGUGCUUCUCUAAGUGUUUGUUCGAACUAGAGCCCCUUGCAGCGCCACCUCGGGGAAACUUGAGGGUUGGUUUUAGUUGUACGGAUUUCUCAUCCGGUGUGCCCUGAGAACGAGAUAUGUGCAGCUCCUAUCGGGAUUUGUCGGCACAUUCGGGCGGUCUUGCUGGUCUUGUUUUACCAUUGUCGAAAUGUCUUGUAACCGGGAUUCCGAGUCUGAUCGGGUCAUCCUGGGAGAAGGAAUAUCCUUCGUUGACCAUGAGGGCUUGUGAUGGGCUAAGUUGGGACACCCCUGCAGGGUUUUGAACUUUCGAAAGCCGUGCCAGCGGUUAUGGGCAGAUGGGAAUUUGUUAAUAUCCGGUUGUAGAAAACCUGACACUUAACUUAAUUAAAAUGCAUCAACCGCGUGUGUAGCCAUGAUGGUAUCCUUCCGGCGGUGUCCGAGAAGUGAACACGGUUCUUGUGUAAUGCUUGUACGUAAGUAGUUUCAGGAUCACUUCUUGAUCACUUCUAGUUUACGACCGUGCUUUGCUUCUCUUCUCGCUCUCAUUUGCGUAAGUUAGCCACCAUAUAUGCUAGUGCUUGCUGCACCUCCAUCUCACUACCUUUUCCUACCCAUAAGCUUAAAUAGUCUUGAUCACGAGGGUGUGAGAUUGCUGAGUCCCCGUGACUCAUAGAUUACUUCAAACAGUUGCUGGUGCCGAUGAUAACCAUGCAGGUGAUGCAACCGAGCUCAAGGAGGAGCUCGAUGAAGAUCGUGUUCGUUGUGUUGUUUCGUCUCCAGUUGAUCAGUAGUGGAGCCCAGUUGGGGCGAUCGGGGAUCUAGCAUUAGGGGUUGUCUUUCUUUAUUUGGUUCCGUAGUCGGACCUUGAUUGUAUUCUGGAUGAUAUAAUGCUAUACUUAUGGAUUGUGUGAAGUGGCGGUUGUAAGCCAACUCUUUAUCCCUUUCUUAUUCAGUACAUGGGAUGUGUAAAGAUUACCCCUCUUGCGACAUGCCUACAAUGCGGUUAUGCCUCUAAGUUGUGCUCCGACACAUGGGAGAUAUAGCCGCAUCGUGGGUGUUACAAGCACCCACCUCAAUUGGGGAGAUCCGCAGUUUUCUUGGACUCGCGGGAUACUACCGGAGAUUCAUUGAGAAUUUCUCCAAGAUUGCGAAACCUAUGACGGGGUUGUUGAAGAAGGACACUAAGUUCAAAUGGACAAAUGAAUGUGAGGCAAGUUUUCAGUAGUUGAAGAAACGUUUGGUUACAGACCCAGUGCUGAUUUUGCCAGAUAUAUGCAAGUAUUUCCAAGUGUAUUGCGAUGGUUCUCGCUUAGGACUUGGAGGUGUACUUAUGCAAGACAGAAAAGUUGUUUCAUAUGCCUCACGACAGCUUCGACCGCAUGAAUUGAAUUAUGCCACGCAUGAUUUGGAGUUAGCAGCUGUAGUUCAUGCACUCAAGACCUGGAGACAUUUUCUUAUUGGAAACCGUUGUGAUGUGUACACGGAUCACAAGAAUUUGAAGUACAUUUUCACGCAGAAGGAGCUGAACCUCAGACAAAGGAGAUGGUUGGAGAUUAUAAAGGAUUGUGAUAUGAAGCUACACUAUCAUCUAGGCAAGGCCAAUGCCGUAGCAGACGCUUUGAGCCGGAAGAGUUAUGCCAAUACCCUCAUAAGUAGAGGAUUUCCCAAGGAGUUAGUCGAAGACCUUAGGGAGCUUCGUUUGGAUAUAGUUCCACGAGGUUUUGUCGCAGCAAUGGAGGUUCAGUCAAUGCUAUUGGGAAAGACUCGAGAAGCUCAGAAGGAUGAUAAGGAGAUUGCUGAGAUAAGAGAGAAGAUGAGCAAAGGAAAAGCCAAAGGUUUUCGUGAGGAUGAGAACGACACUUUAUGGUUUGAGGACCGAGUAUAUGUACCCAAUAAUGCAGAAAUCAGGAAGUUAAUACUACAGGAAGCUCAUGAUUCACCUUACUCGAUUCACCCAGAAAACACAAAAAUGUAUUUGGAUUUGAAGGAGCGUUUCUGGUGGACAGGUAUGAAGAAGGAUAUUGCAGAGUAUGUAGUAGUAUGUGAUGUAUGUCAGAGAGUGAAGGCAGAACAUCAGAAACCGGCAGGAUUACUGCAGCCUAUGCCGAUACCCGAAUGGAAGUGGGAGAAGCUUGACAUGGAUUUCAUCACCGGAUUACCCAGGACACGAUCGGGAUAUGAUUCUAUCUGGGUAGUAGUGGAUCGUUUGACAAAGGUAGCUCACUUUAUCCUAGUGAAAACCACCUAUAGGAGUGCGAAGUUGGACAAGAUAUAUAUGACCAGGAUCGUAUGUCUACAUGGAGUUUCGAGGACCAUCGUAUCAGAUAGAGGGACUUAGUUUACUUCGAAGUUUUGGCAUCAGUUGCACCAGACUUUGGGUACCAGGCUAGAGUUCAAUACAGCCUUUCAUGCGCAGACAGAUGGAUAGCCAGAGAGAGAGAGAGAGUCAAUCAGAUUUUCGAGGACAUGUUGAGAGCUUGUGCGCUAGAUUAUGGAUCUAGCUGGGAUGAUAAUUUUCCAUACGUGGAACUCUCAUACAACAACAGUUAUCAAGCUAGUCUGAAGAUGGCCCCUUUCGAAGCCUUGUAUGGAAGGAGGUGCAGGACACCGUUGAUGUGGGAUGAAGUUGGAGACCAUCAAUUGUUUGGACCAGAUUUAAGAAUCCGAAGAGAAGGUUAAGUUGAUUCGUGAUAGACUAAAGGUAGCCCAGUCCAGGCAGAAGAGUUACGUAGAUUCAAAACGCAAGGAGGUAGUCUAUGAAAUCGGAGACAGAGCAUAUGUUCGUGUGUCACAUCUCCGAGGAGUUAAACAUUUUGGAGUUCAGGGAAAGUUAGCCCCGAGAUUUGUAGGACCAUACCAAGUUCUGGAACGUAUGGGAGAAGUGGCCUACAAGUUGGAGCUACCCGAAGGAUUGUCAGGAGUUCAUGAUGUGUUUCAUGUUUCCCAGUUGAAGAAGUGCCAUGCAGAGAUGGCCGAUAUUCCUCUGAGAGAUACAGUGCCCCUGGAAGCAAUUCAGUUGGACAAUGAUUUGACCUACGAGGAGAAACCCGUCAAGAUUCUCGAGUUUGGAAGUCGAGUUACACGCAGCAAGGUUAUCAAGUGUUGCAAAGUUCAGUGGAGCCACCAUACUGAGGAUGAAGCCACCUAGGAAUGAGAGGAAGAUCUAUGGAAAGACCACCCACACCUAUUUUCUAGCCAACUCAAAUCUCGAGGGCGAGAUUCAUCUUAAGGGGGGUAGGUUCGUAACAUCCCAAAUUUUCAAUUUGGAAUGUUAUACAUAGGUCAUCAUGUAAAUAUCAUAUUUUAUUUGCAUCUCGUUUGCGGUCCUAAAAAUCCUAAGCAACUCAAGGACCCACGGAGAGAGUUGGGGAUUUCACUAUUUUCAUAUUUGAAAUUUUCUCAAAUUUGAAAAGAGGAUCACUUUUGUUUUAAUAUUUUUCACUCUAAAAUAUUUCCAAUAUAAAAAAAUUUAAAAGAGAGGAGAAAAAGGACUUCUCCAAAAUAAAAGAAAUAUUAGAGAAAAAAUGUUAAAAUCAAAUAAUUAUUUUAUUUGGGAUUUUUUUGCUAUUUUAUUUGAAUUAGAAAAAUAUGCAUUUUUCAAAAUUACAUUUUUAGGCCAGAAAAAUGUUCACUUUGUUCUAAAUAUUUUUUUAGACGAGAAAAAUUGUUUUUCGCAUUUUUAGAUUUUUUAAAUAUUUUUUUAGGAUUUUCUUUGGCGGGAUUAAAAAAAAAGUUUCCCGGAUCGAACUGGGCUCAAGCCCAGCUGGCCCAGCUGCAUGCCGACUUAGGAGCCGACUCGGGCCAGGAGNNNNNNNNNNNNNNNNNNNNNNNNNNNNNNNNNNNNNNNNNNNNNNNNNNNNNNNNNNNNNNNNNNNNNNNNNNNNNNNNNNNNNNNNNNNNNNNNNNNNUGACGCUAGGGUUAUGAAGAUAUGUAUAUGCAGAAACCCGAAUGUUGUUCGGAGUCCCGGAUGAGAUCCCGGACGUCACGAGGAGUUCCGGAAUGGUCCGGAGGUAAAGAAUUAUAUAUAGGAAGUGCUAUUUCGGGCACCGGGACAAGUUUCGGGGUUAUCGGUAUUGUACCGGGACCACCGGAAGGGUCCCGGGGGUCCACCGGGUGGGGCCACCUGUCCCGGGGGGCCACAUGGGCUGUAGGGGGUGCGCCUUGGCCAUCAUGGGCCAAGGGCACCAGCCCCUAUAGGCCCAUGCGCCUAGGGUUUCCCCCUAGGAGGAGUCCUAGUGGUGGAAGGCACCCCUAGGUGCCUUGGGGGGGAGGGAAACCUCCCCUAGGCCGCCGCCCCCCCUAGUAGAUCUCAUCUACUAGGGCCGGCGCCCCCCCCCUUGGCACCCCUAUAUAUAGUGGGGGGGAGAGGAGGAGAACACACCAGCCCCUGGCGCCUCCCUCUCCCCCCGUUACGUUUCUCCCUCGUAGUCUCGGCGAAGCCCUGCUGCUGUGACGCCCUGCAUCCACCACCACGCCGUCGUGCUGCUGGAUCUUCAUCAACCUCUCCUUCCCCCUUGCUGGAUCAAGAAGGAGGAGACGUCUCCCGUCCCGUACGUGUGUUGAACGCGGAGGUGCCGUCCGUUCGGCGCUGGUCAUCGGUGAUUUGGAUCACGUCGAGUACGACUACAUCAUCACCUUGCAAGCUUCCGCACGCGAUCUACAAGUGGUAUGUAGAUGCAAACUCUCUCCCUAGACUCGUUGCUUAGAUGAACUCAUAGAUGGAUCUUGGUGAAACCGUAGGAAAAAUUUUAAUUUUCUGCAACGUUCCCCAACAGUGGCAUCAUGAGCUAGGUCUAUGCGUAGUUCUCUUUGCACGAGUAGAACACAACUUUGUUGUGGGCGUGGAUUUUAUCAUCUUACUUGCCUCUACUAGUCUUUUCUUGCUCAACGGUAUUGUGGGAUGAAGCGGCCCGGACCAACCUUACACGUACGCUUACGUGAGACCGGUUCCACCGACUGACAUGCACUAGUUGCAUAAGGUGGCUGGCGGGUGUCUGUCUCUCCCACUUUAGUUGGAGCGGAAUCGAUGAACAGGGCCCUUAUGAAGGGUAAAUAGAAGUUGACAAAAUCACGUUGUGGUGAUUCGUAGGUAAGAAAACGUUCUUGCUAGAACCCAAUUGCAGCCACGUAAAAGAUGCAACAACAAUUAGAGGACGUCUAACUUGUUUUUGCAGCGAUUGAUCAUGUGAUGUGAUAUGGCCAGAAGUUAUGAUGAAUGAUGAAUUGUGAUGUAUGAGAUCAUGUUCUUUGUAAUAGGAUUCACGACUUGCAUGUCGAUGAGUAUGACAACCGGCAGGAGCCAUAGGAGUUGUCUUUAUUUUUUGUAUGACCUGCGUGUCAUUGAAUAACGCCAUGUAAACUACUUUACUUUAUUGCUAAACGUUAGUCAUAGAAGUAGAAGUAGUCGUUGGCGUGACAACUUCAUGAAGACAUGAUGAUGGAGAUCAUGAUGAUGGAGAUCAUGAUGAUGGAGAUCAUGGUGUCAAGCCGGUGACAAGAUGAUCAUGGAGCCCCGAAGAUGAAGAUCAAUGGAGCUAUAUGAUAUUGGCCAUAUCAUGUCACAACUAUAUAAUUGCAUGUGAUGUUUAUUAUGUUUAUGCAUCUUGUUUACUUAGGACGACGGUAGUAAAUAAGAUGAUCCCUUACAAAAAUUUCAAGAAGUGUUCUCCCCUAACUGUGCACCGUUGCUACAGUUCGUCGCUUCUAAGCACCACGUGAUGAUCGGGUGUGAUGGAUUCUUACGUUCACAUACAACGGGUGUAAGACAGUUUUACACAGCGAAAACACUUAGGGUUAACUUGACGAGCCUAGCAUGUGCAGACAUGGCCUCGGAACACGGAGACCGAAAGGUCGAACACGAGUCGUAUGGAAGAUACGAUCAACAUGAGAAUGUUCACCGACAAUGACUAGUCCGUCUCACGUGAUGAUCGGACACGGCCUAGUCGACUCGGAUCGUGUAACACUUAGAUGACUAAAGGGAUGUCUAAUCUGAGUGGGAGUUCAUAAUUUGGUUAGAACUUAAUUAUCAUGAACUUAGUCUAAAACCUUUGCAAAUAUGUCUUGUAGAUCAAAUGGCCAACGCUCAUGUCAACAUGAACUUCAACGCGUUCCUAGAAAAAACCAAGCUGAAAGAUGAUGGCAGCAACUAUACGGACUGGGUCCGGAACCUGAGGAUCAUCCUCAUAGCUGCCAGGAAACAAUAUGUCCUAGAAGGACCGCUAGGUGACGCUCCCGUCCCAGAGAACCAAGACAUUAUGAAUGCUUGGCAAACUCGCGCUGAUGAUUACUCCCUCGUUCAGUGUGGCAUGCUUUACAGCUUAGAACCGGGGCUCCAAAAGCGUUUUGAGCAUCACGGAGCAUAUGAGAUGUUCGAAGAGCUGAAACUAGUUUUCCAAGCUCAUGCCCGGGUCGAGAGAUAUGAUGUCUCCGACAAGUUCUACAGUUGUAAGAUGGAGGAAAACGGUUCUGUCAGUGAGCACAUCCUGAAGAUGUUUGGGUUGCACAACCGUAUGACCCAGCUGAACAUUAACCUCCCAGAUGAGGCGGUCAUUGACAGAAUCCUCCAGUCACUCCCACCAAGCUACAAGAGCUUUGUGAUGAACUACAACAUGCAUGGGAUGGAAAAGACCAUUCCUGAAGUGUUCUCGAUGCUGAAGUCAGCAGAGGCUGAAAUCAAGAAAGAACAUCAAGUGUUGAUGGUCAAUAAGACCACUAAGUUCAAGAAGGGCAAGGGUAAGAAGAACUUCAAGAAGGACGGCAAAGAUGUUGCCGCGCCUGGUAAGCCAGUUACCGGGAAGAAGUCAAAGAAUGGACCCAAGCCUGAGACUGAGUGCUUUUAUUGCAAGGGGAAGGGUCACUGGAAGCGGAACUGCCCCAAAUACUUAGCGGAUAAGAAGGCUGGCAACACCAAAGGUAUAUUUGAUAUACAUGUGAUUGAUGUGUACCUUACCAGUACUCGUAGUAACUCCUGGGUAUUUGAUACCGGUGCCGUUGCUCAUAUUUGUAACUCACAGCAGGAGCUGCGGAAUAAACGGAGACUGGCGAAGGACGAGGUGACGAUGCGCGUCGGGAAUGGUUCCAGAGUCGAUGUGAUCGCCAUCGGCACGCUGCCUCUACAUUUACCUACGGGAUUAGUUUUGAACCUUAAUAAUUGUUAUUUAGUGCCAAGUUUGAGCAUGAACAUUGUAUCUGGAUCUUGUUUGAUACGAGAUGGCUACUCAUUUAAGUCUGAGAAUAAUGGUUGUUCGAUUUAUAUGAGAGAUAUGUUUUAUGGUCAUGCUCCGAUGGUCAAUGGUUUAUUCUUAAUGAAUCUCGAGCGUAAUAUUACACAUGUUCAUAGUGUAGAUGCCAAAAGAUUUAAAGUUGAUAACGAUAGUCCCACAUACUUGUGGCACUGCCGCCUUGGUCACAUUGGUGUCAAGCGCAUGAAGAAGCUCCAUGCUGAUGGACUUUUGGAGUCUCUUGAUUAUGAAUCGUUUGACACAUGCGAACCAUGCCUGUUGGGAAAAAUGACCAAGACUCCGUUCUCCGGAACAAUGGAGCGAACAACCAACUUGUUGGAAAUCAUACAUACCGAUGUGUGCGGUCCAAUGAGCGUUGAGGCUCGCGGAGGAUAUCGUUAUGUUCUCACUCUCACUGAUGACUUGAGUAGAUAUGGGUAUGUCUACUUAAUGAAACACAAGUCUGAGACCUUUGAAAAGUUCAAGGAAUUUCAGAAUGAGGUAGAGAAUCAACGUGACCGAAAGAUAAAAUUCUUACGAUCAGAUCGUGGAGGAGAAUACUUAAGUCACGAAUUUGGUACACACUUAAGGAAAUGUGGAAUCGUUUCACAACUCACGCCGCCUGGAACACCUCAGCGAAACGGUGUGUCCGAACGUCGUAAUCGCACUCUAUUGGAUAUGGUACGGUCUAUGAUGUCUCUUACUGAUUUACCGCUAUCAUUUUGGGGAUACGCUCUAGAGACAGCUACAUUCACUUUAAAUAGGGCACCGUCUAAAUCCGUUGAGAUGACACCGUAUGAAUUAUGGUUUGGAAAGAAACCUAAGCUGUCGUUUCUAAAAGUUUGGGGAUGCGAUGCUUAUGUCAAGAAACUUCAACCUGAAAAGCUCGAACCCAAGUCGGAAAAAUGCGUAUUCAUAGGAUACCCUAAGGAAACUGUCGGGUAUACCUUCUACUUAAGAUCCGAAGGCAAGAUCUUUGUUGCCAAGAACGGAUGCUUUCUGGAAAAAGAGUUUCUCUCGAAAGAAGUAAGUGGGAGGAAAGUAGAACUCGAUGAAGUACUACCUCUCGAACGGGAAAGUGGUGCAGCUCAGGAAAAUGUUCCUGUGAUGCCCACACCAACUGAAGAGGAAAACAAUGAUGAUGAUCAAGGUACUUCGGAUCAAGUUACUACUGAACUUCGUAGGUCCACAAGGACACGUUCCGCACCAGAGUGGUACGGCAACCCUGUCCUGGAAAUCAUGUUGUUAGACAACAAUGAACCUUCGAACUAUGAAGAAGCGAUGGCGGGCCCGGAUUCCAACAAAUGGCUUGAAGCCAUGAAAUCCAAGAUAGAAUCCAUGUAUGAAAACAAAGUAUGGACUUUGACAGACUUGCCCGAUGAUCGGCGAGCGAUAGAAAACAAAUGGAUUUUUAAGAAGAAGACGGACGCGGAUGGUAAUGUUACCAUCUAUAAGGCUCGACUUGUCGCUAAGGGUUAUCGACAAGUUCAAGGGAUUGACUACGACGAGACUUUCUCUCCCGUAGCGAAGCUGAAGUCCGUCCGAAUCAUGUUAGCAAUUGCCGCAUACUAUGAUUAUGAGAUAUGGCAAAUGGACGUCAAAACGGCAUUCCUUAACGGACAUCUUAAGGAAGAACUGUAUAUGAUGCAGCCGGAAGGUUUUGUCGAUCCUCGGAACGCUAACAAAGUAUGCAAGCUCCAGCGAUCCAUUUAUGGACUGGUGCAAGCAUCUCGGAGUUGGAACAUUCGCUUUGAUGAGAUGAUCAAAGCGUUUGGGUUUAUGCAGACUUAUGGAGAAGCCUGUGUUUACAAGAAAGUGAGUGGGAGCUCUGUAGCAUUUCUCAUAUUAUAUGUAGAUGACAUACUCCUGAUGGGAAAUAAUAUAGAAUUUCUGGACAGCAUUAAGGCCUACUUGAAUAAGUGUUUUUCAAUGAAGGACCUUGGAGAAGCUGCUUAUAUAUUAGGCAUCAAGAUCUAUAGAGAUAGAUCGAGACGCCUCAUAGGUCUUUCACAAAGCACAUACCUUGAUAAGAUUUUGAAGAGAUUCAGAAUGGAUCAGUCCAAGAAGGGGUUCUUGCCUAUGUUACAAGGUAUGAGACUGAGCUCAGCUCAGUCACCGACCACGGCAAAAGAUAAAGAAGAGAUGAGUGUCAUCCCCUAUGCUUCAGCCAUAGGAUCUAUUAUGUAUGCCAUGCUAUGUACCAGACCCGAUGUAAACCUUGCCGUAAGUUUGGUAGCAAGAUACCAAAGUAAUCCCGGCAAGGAACACUGGAUAGCGGUCAAGAAUAUCCUGAAGUACCUGAAAAGGACAAAGGACAUGUUUCUCGUUUAUGGACGAGACGAAGAGCUCGUCGUAAAGGGUUACGUCGACGCUAGCUUCGACUCAGAUCUGGAUGACUCUAAGUCACAAACCGGAUACGUGUAUAUGUUGAAUGGUGGAGCAGUAAGCUGGUGCAGCUGCAAGCAGAGCGUCGUGGUGGGAUCUACAUGUGAAGCGGAGUACAUGGCAGCCUCGGAGGCAGCACAUGAAGCGAUUUGGGUGAAGGAGUUCAUCACCGACCUAGGAGUCAUACCCAAUGCAUCGGGGCCGAUCAAACUCUUCUGUGACAACACUGGAGCUAUUGCCCUCGCAAAGGAGCCCAGGUUUCACAAGAAGACCAGGCACAUCAAGCGUCGUUUCAACUCCAUCCGUGAAAAUGUUCAAGAUGGAGACAUAGAGAUUUGCAAAGUGCACACGGAUCUGAAUGUCACAGAUCCGCUGACUAAACCUCUCUCGCGUGCAAAACAUGAUCAACACUAGAACUCUAUGGGUGUUCGAUUCAUCACAAUGUAACUAGAUUAGUGACUCUAGUGCAAGUGGGAGACUGUUGGAAAUAUGCCCUAGAGGCAAUAAUAAAAGUAUUAUUAUAUUUCAUUGUUCAUGAUAAUUGUCUUUUAUUCAUGCUAUAACUGUAUUAUCCGGAAAUCGUAAUACACGUGUGAAUACUUAGACCACACUAUGUCCCUGGUAAGCCUCUAGUUGACCAGCUCGUUGUGAUCAACAGAUAGUCAUGGUUUCCUGACUAUGGACAUUGGAUGUCGUUGAUAACGGGAUCACAUCAUUAGGAGAAUGAUGUGAUGGACAAGACCCAAUCCUAAGNNNNNNNNNNNNNNNNNNNNNNNNNNNNNNNNNNNNNNNNNNNNNNNNNNNNNNNNNNNNNNNNNNNNNNNNNNNNNNNNNNNNNNNNNNNNNNNNNNNNGGUAGGAAUAGAGUAAGAGAAUAGAAUAACAAUUUGGUUGCUUAAAUACUAAACAAUUCAUUUGAUAUUGAUGGGUAAGUCAACAUGCAGAUACUUGAAAAGAACACUUACUUCGAACAAAGUCUGCAUAAAUGAUAUUGUCGGGGAAGUUAGCAUAUAUCUCAUGACCAGGCUCUUUUAUGUGUAUUGCAAUUUUAGUGCCAGCUUUCAGUACAUAAAACUUAGAAAUUUCUUUCCAAAGGCAAGUGCCAAAAUAGGAGUCACCAUGUUCAUCAAGUCUUACAGUAGCAACGAUUGUAAAUCCAUGGUUUGUGUUCAAUAUGACAUCCCAGUAGUCUUGAUUUAUGUAAAGGGAAAGAUUGUGUACUACAGAUUCUGUUGCAUAGCAAGGGACGCGCUGCAGAAAAUGGUAGGAUUAUUAAAGAAAAUAUGGUAACAUGCAAAUAUGGGCCCAAAUUGAAAGAACUGUACAACAGUUGAAAUCAAAGGACAAAAAUCUAUAAUUAAAUAUAUAUGGUCAACAUGAUGUCAUGGAAAUAUGAGAGUGAUCGAAAGAACAAUACAUCAUUAAUUUGCCUAAUAUAGAAAGAAGAGGGAAAAAAAAUCCCCUUUGACGUAUAUGCUGCAUGUGGCACCUUUUAUCCAAAUGUAGCAAUAUUUAGUAUAUGUUCAGGAAAGUAGGCCAUGCCAACCGAUUUAGGGUGAGAUUGAACAUACCGCUCGCAUCCUCAAGUCAUCUGGUAUGGUGAGAUGAAACUCCAUGGAUGUAUGGCCGAGGCCGCAAAGUACUGAUGUGUCCGCGCACUGUACACUUUAUGAAUGAAAGAAAACCCUCAAAUCAGCUCGAAUAAAAAUGAAUUCACGUCAAUUUCGGCUGGGUGAUUAAAGGAGGCAGAUGAACUGGGAUAAGAGAUGAGAUAAUAUCUCAUUAAAUUAGUACCCUCAAUAUGGUGAAUUCCCCAACCGGGCGGAGCUGGGUCGACCGCGAGUAGCAUCGAGAAAGUCAAUGGCGAUAGGUGGCGGCAAGCCGAAGUGGCGAAAUUCGGUGGGGUUUGCCGGCAGCCUGGCGGCGGCUAUAGGUGUCGGUGCAAUAGAUCUAGGUCCGUUACCCAGACUGUGCACAGGCAUGAGGACAAUUUCACAAUACCUUGAUCUACUCAAGCAAGACGGACCGAUUCCCUUGAAGGAUCCCAACACAAACCAAGAUGGCCAAGACUAGCCAGAGGAGCAAGAUGCUACUAAGGAAAAAAACCUCCCUUGCCGGGUAGGUGAGCCUGGCAAAGACGAGAUUAUCCCCGGAAGCAAGCCCUCCUGGAUCGUCCCGGCAGGCCUGCCGGGACAAGCGAAGGCAACCCACUCCACCGCACCACCUCACCACGACGUACAUCGUCGAUUAGUGAGGUGUCAAGCUCCAAGGUGACUAAGUGGCUUCUAUAUGCCACAUGGCAGCUACCUCCUACAGAAAAUACCUACAAGCAACACCCGUCCUGCAGCAUGUCGAGCGAGCAGGCGUCAAGCUGGCGAAACGGCCCGACAGAGCCUGCCGGGCAAGCUAUGACGUGACAUUGAGCGGCACAUUUAAUGCGCUCUGUCAGCCUGCAGAGUUAGGUAUGAUAGCACUAUUUUCUAUCUAAUCAGUGCGUAAUGACUGAUUUGCCACUGUGGUGACCCCUUGAUCUAUAAAAGGAGGCCCAUGGAAACCGUAGAGAGGAUUCAGACUCUUGUGCACUCAUACGCGCGUAGCCGUUCUCGUCCCAAGGCAACCCUGCCGGGCAAGAGCGCUACGCUUUGCACCACAAUCCACCAUCAAUCCACCAAAGCAGGAGUAGGGUUUGAUGCAUCGCGGCGGCCGGAACCUGGGUAAAACUGCCCGUGUGAUCUCUGCCAUGCUGGCUCACGUUCGUCUGCUCUUUGCACAAUGUGACGUCCCCCUACCAAGCCAGCAAGGGGCCUUCUAGUCCCAUAAGUGGCCUUGAUUUCCCACGACAUAUUUGGUGCGCCGGGUAGGGGGAGCACCUGCGUGAACCCGAAAGCAUGAGCAGCGCGUCAUCUUCAUCGCCAUUUUCAUCGUCGACAGCUCCAUCGACUAUGGCGCCUAAGAAGAAGCCCGGAGCUGCGAUUCACCCGUCUACCUCAAGGGCUCAGCCGCCCGCGACCACCAACGUCACGGGAAAUGAGGGGACGCGUGAAGACGUGGACGUCGCGGGAGGCAUGGUCGACGCAGGAGGCGUUGUCACCGCCAUACCCGCGACCGAAGCAGAAGCGGGAGGCACCGGGGAAGGACAUCAUCAGCAAGAUCCCAAUGGCCACACUCCUCGAGGUACGGGUGGGGGGAUUAGUUUACCCGCACCCUCUCUCCUCGCCGAAGGGCACAACCGAAGUGGUGGCGCUUGUUCUGAGGCGAACCGUAUCCCUCCGGCCGUCCCCACCACGGGUACAACCGCGAGGCACGCGCCGCCUCCAGAACAAGCCAGCCCAGCUACUGUGCCCAGCAGAGCCGCCGGCCCUCAAGCGCCUCUGCUGCAUGACCGCGCCAUCCAAGCGGCUCGCUCACGCCAGCAAAGGCGCGACGCGGUUGCCACAGGCGCCAUCAAGAGCCGAGCGACGCAACGAGCUUCAUCAUCUUCACCCAUGCCAAGUAUCGCCUCCGAGGCCAUGGCGCGGGCCCAGUUGCUGUUGAGAUUCCCUCCAGUGGCUGAUCAGAUGGACGAGUGGCGAGCCACUAUCCAAAGCUUGAUUGGCUUCACUGAGGAGGGAGGAUCGCAGCGGGCUGGGCCGCCUCGGCCUCCCCAGGAGUCAACAACGGCUCAUGCGGCUGGCCGCACGGAAGGGGCUGCCCCCAUGGUGCAGUCUCCACCUCGGCAAGCUGCACGAGAGCCACGUAUCCAAGAGGCCGACGACAUCUCAAUGGCCUCCACUGAUCCUCGAGUACGACAAGAACCACGGCGAGCCCCGGAGGGGGAAGCCACGCGCGCCAUCGGCGAGCGGUGUCGCGACGACCACCGCCAACCCAACAGGUGUGUGAUACGUCCAUUUUGCAUCAUGUUUACCUACUGUUAUUUAUGUUGUUUUAUUGCAUAAUAAUGCUUUUUGGAGUAAUUCUAAUGCCUUUUCUCUCAUAAUAUGCAAGGUAGACACGAAGAGGGAGAAUUCCGGCAGCUGGAAAUCUGGACUUGAAAAAGCUACGACAGGCUACCUAUUCUGCACAACUCCAGAUAAGUUGAAACUUCACGAGGAUUUUUUAUGGAAUAUAUGAGAAUUAUUGGAGCAAAUAAGUACCAGAGGGGACCCACCAGGUGGGCACAACCCACCUGGGUGCGCCAGGGAGCCCAUGCAUGCCCUGGUGAGUUGUGCUCCCCUAGGCCCACCUCCGGUGCCCCUCUUCUGGUACAUAAGUCAUUUUGACCUAGAAAAAAAUAAGGAGAGGACUUUUAGGAUGAAGCGCCACCAUCUCGAGGCGGAACUUGGGAAGGAGCACUUUUGCCCUCCGGCGGAGCGAUUCCAUCGGGGGAACUUCCCUCCCGGAGGGGGAAAUCAUCGUCAUCACCACCACCACCAACUCUCCCAUCUUUGGGAGGGAAGUAUCCAUCAACAUCUUCAACAACACCAUGUCCUCUCAAACCCUAGUUCAUCUCUUGUUUUCAAUCUUUGUACCGGAACUAUAGAUUGGUGCUUGUGGGUGACUAGUAGUGUUAAUUACAUCUUGUAGUUGAUUACUAUAUGGUUUAUUUGGUGAAUGAUUACAUGUUCAUAUCCAUUAUGCUAUUUAAUGCCCCUCUGAUCUUGAGCAUGAUUAUCAUUCGUGAGUAGUUACUUUUGCUCUUGAGGUCAUGGGAGAAAUCAUGUUGCAAGUAAUCAUGUGAACUUGAUAUGUGUUCGAUAUUUUGAUGAUAUAUAUGUUGUGAUUCCCUUAGUGGUGUCAUGUGAACAUCGACUGCAUGGCACUUCACCAUAUUUGGUCCUAACGGAAUGCAUUGUGGAGUAGUUAUUAGAUGAUGGGUUGCCAGAGUGACAAAAGCUUAAACCCUAGUUUAUGCGUUAUUCUGUAAGGGACUGACUGGAUCCAAAAGUUUAAUGCUAUGGUUAGAAUUGAUUCUUAAUACUUUUGUCGUAGUUGUGGAUGCUUGCGAGGGAGUUAAUCGUAAGUAGGAGGUUUGUUAAAGUAAGAACAACACCUAAGCACUGGUCCACCCACAUACCAAAUUAUCAAAGUAGUGAACACGAAUCGAACCAACAUGAUGAAAGUGACUAGAUGAAAUUCCUGUGUACCCUCAAGAACACUUUGCUUAUCAUAAGAGACCAUUUUGGCCUGUCCUUUGGCUCAAAAGUAUUGGGCUACCUUGCUGCACUUUUGUUACUACUACCGUUACUUGCUCGUUACAAAUUAUCUUGUUAUCAAACUACUCUGUUACUUACAAUUUCAGCACUUGCACACAUUACCUUGCUGAAAACCACUUGUCAUUUCCUUCUUCUGCUUGUUGGGUUUGACACUCUUGCUUAUUGAAAAGGCUACAAUUGAUCCCAUAUAAUUGUGGGUCAUCAAGACUCUUUUCUGGCACCGUUGCCUGGGAGUGAAGCGCACUUGGUAAGUGGAAAUUGGUAAUGAAAAAUUAUUACUAUGUGCUGAAAUUUAUUGUCACUUGUUACUAUGGAAAACAAUCCUUUGAGGGGUUUGUUCUAUGUAUCUUCACCUCAAUCGGAGCCACAAUUAGUUACCCCUCAACCUACUGCACCUACUAAAAAUAUUGAAUAUGAAAUUCCUCCGGGUAUGGUAGAACAACUGCUAGCUAAUCCUUAUGCAGGAGAUGGAACCGAACAUCCUGAUAUGCACUUGAUAUAUGUGGAUGAAAUUUGUGGAUUGUUUAAGCUUGCAGGUUUACCCGGAGAUGAAUCUAAGAAUAAGGUUUUCCCUUUAUCUUUGAAGGGAAAGGCAUUGACAUGGUAUAUGCUAUGUGAUGACAUUGGAUCUUGGAACUGGAAUCAGUUGAAAUUGGAAUUCCAUCAAAAACAUUAUCCUAUGCAUCUAGUUCAUCAUGAUCGGAAUUAUAUAUAUAAUUUUUGGCCGCGUGAAGGAGAAAGUAUUGCUCUAGCGGGGGGGGGGGAGGCUUAAGUCAAUGUUAUAUUCAUGCCCCAAUCAUGAGCUCUGAAGAGAAAUUAUUAUUCAGAAUUUUUAUGCUCGGCUUUCUCGUAAUGAUCAAUCCAUGCUCGAUACUUCUUGUACUGGUUCUUUUAUGAAGAAUACUAUUGAAUUCCGAUGGGAUCUUUUAGAAAGAAUUAAAUGCAACUCUGAAGAUUGGGACCUCGACGAAGGUAAAGAGUCAGGUAUUGAGCCUAAGUUUGAUUGUGUUAAAUCUUUUAUGAAUACCGAUGCUUUUCAAAAGUUUAGCACUAAAUAUGGACUUGACUCUGAGAUAGUAGCUUCCUUUUGUGAAUCUUUUGCUACACAUGUUGAUCUUCCUAAAGAGAGGUGGUUCAAAUAACACCCACCAAUGAAAGAAGAAAUUAAAGAACUAGUAAAAGGUAAAGAUGAAACUAUCAUUUAUAAUGUUGAUCCAGUUAUUCCCACUGCUAUAUUGAAAAACCACCUUUCUGUGUUAGGAUGAAGGAACAUGCUAAAGUUUCAACUGUGGUCAGCAAAAGUUAUAUUAGAACACCUAAACCAGCUGAACAAAUCAAAAUAGAACCUAGUGUUGCUAUGGUUAAAGAUCUCUUGGUCGAUAAUAUUGAUGCGCAUGUUAUUUACUUCUAUGAAGCUGCAAGAAUUGCCAAACCCAAUGAGAAAGAUAAACAUAGACCUAUUUUUGGCAUGCCUGUUGUCUCAGUUAAGAUAGGAGAUCAAUGUUAUCAUGGUUUAUGUGACAUAGGUGCUAGCCUGAGUGCUAUUCCUUUUACCUUAUAUCAAGAAAUUAUGAAUGACAUAGCACCCGCUGAGAUAGAAGACAGAUGUUACUAUUAAGAUUGCCAGUAGAGAUACUAUAUCACCAAUUGGGAUUGUUAGAGAUGUUGAAGUUUUGUGUGGGAAAAUAAAAUACCCUACUGAUUUUCUUGUUCUUGGUUCCCCACAAGAUGACUUUUGUCCCAUUAUCUUUGGUAGACCUUUCUUGAACACCCUUAAUGAUAAAAUAGAUUGUGAGUAACAAACUGUCGGUGUUAGUUUUGGUGAUGAAUCUCAUGAGUUUAAUUUUUCUAUGUUUGGUAGAAAGCAUAAUAAUAAGGAAUUGCCUUGUAAGGAUGAAAUAAUUGGACUUACUUCUAUUGCUGUACCUCCUACUGAUCCUUUAGAACAAUAUUUGCUAGACGAUGAAAAUGAUUUGCAUAGGCAUGAAAGAAAUGAAAUACAUAGAAUCUUGUUGGAACAACAACCUCUUCUUAAACACAAUCUGCCUAUUGAAACUCUAGGAGGUCCUCCUCCACCUAAAAGGUGAUCUUGUGUUUAAAUUAAAACAAUUGCNNNNNNNNNNNNNNNNNNNNNNNNNNNNNNNNNNNNNNNNNNNNNNNNNNNNNNNNNNNNNNNNNNNNNNNNNNNNNNNNNNNNNNNNNNNNNNNNNNNNGGCUAUCCUUAUGAACUGUGACAAUCAGACUGUCAUCACCAAGGUGAAGAGUUCAAAGGACAACAUGAAGUCCACCAAACACAUAAGAAUGAGAUUAAAAGCUGUCAGAAAAUUAAGAAACUCCGGAGUGAUAGCGUUGGACUAUGUCCAUACGGCUAAGAAUCUGGCAGAUCCCUUUACAAAAGGGCUAUCACGUGUUGUGAUAGAUAAUGCAUCGAGGGAGAUGGGUAUGAGACCCACAUGAGUUGCCAUGGUGGUAACCCAACCUAUAUGAUCGGAGAUCCCGUGAACUAGGACCUGGGAAAACAAGCCAGUGGUGAACUGAGGAGAGUAACUAUACUAACCCACUCCGUUGGAGAUGCAAUACUCUCGAUACUGUAUGGUAGGAUGACUACGGUCUCAAUGUGUUCCAAAGCUUAUAAAAGCAAGAUGAUAUCCUACAGAGCGAUCUUUGGAGGAACACACCUAUAUGAGCCCGACUGAUGGUCACAGUCUAUGAGAUUGGGGUGAUCUCUAGUAAGCUCAUGAAUAGGCCAGGAGUGUGACUUAUAUGCUCCACCCGAGGGGUCAGCCUUCGGCAGCCUAGUACUAGUAAGACAUGUAGUGAAACUUCUUUACGCCAAACUGACAAUUCAAGGCAUAGUCCAUUGUUCAGUUGUGAAGGAGUGUAGCCACUUGUUCUAGGUGAAGUUCAACCUUAACAGGUCUUUACUGAAACACUGGUAUAUCGAAACAGCAAUUGGAACAGAGGACACAAUGGGCCCUCGAGAUCUGGUGGGGGAUUGCUGAAAUCUGAGAUGGGCUCUAGGCCCAUAUUGCAAUUUCUGAAAAAUCUCUAAGGGCCCAUGUGGGUUAUAUGGCACUAGGUGUGGUGGGAGGUUUAGUCCCACCCCGGAAGUGGAAGGAGAGUUGGAGUGGUUUAUAAGGGUUUCUCUUCUACAUGCUAUUGGAGCUUGAGAAGAGAAGAGGCCCUCGCGCACUCCUCCUCCGCCGCCCGCCUCGCCACGCCACGCCUCGUCACGACGCGCCGCGGGUUGCGGGAUUGAGCCGAGCCGAGCUCACACCUACGCGCUUAUUUUUGCCAGUCACUAACGGAGAGUUUUCUGACAGCUGGGCCAUGAUCUGAGACGUCGGAUCGUGGGCUGUCACGGACUCGGACGUGGGUCGAGCCCACGUCUCUCCACGCGGCUGCGCCUAUAAGUAUGCGGUGUCUCCUAACCCUAGCCGCCACGAACAGAUCACAUCUGCUCACGCGCACGCCCACCGUCGUUCCUUUGCUGCUGCUGCCGCCGGUGACUCCAUCCCGUCCGCCACGUACACGGUCGACGGGAGAGCAGGUCUCCGAAACCACGCCCUUCUGGUUCCUGUACGGGGUGAGGGGCGAAUAGGUUUUUGGGCAGCGAUUACGCGACUGCUCGCUUCCGAUCGUCUACUUCCUCUACGUCCGCGUCGCCUUCGUCAUCACCAUGUCCACCGACGCCGACCGUGCCGCCGCCGAGAAAGCUGAAGCCGACAAGAAGGUCGCCGAGGACGCCGCUGCUGCCACCAAAGCCGCGGCCUCUGCGUGGCCUACUGGAGGGUAUAACUCGUUUAUCCCACUCCUGAUUAUUUUCAUAUUAGCAGUACUAGCAGUAUGUGUAGAUUUGUCUACUGUUUGCUUAGUACGUGCAUGUUUAGAUCAGAGUCAGUACGUCAUCAACUUAGUCAAUGCCAUGCUAGUGAUUUACUCAUGGAUUAAUUUAAUCGAGAAAUUGCCUAUUUACUCAACAAUCCAAAAACCUAUUAUGUGUAGGAAUUUCUCGGCAAGUGGCUUUGCCGCUGCACUGAAACCGGAUAAGUUUACCGGUACAUACUUCAAGCGUUGGCAGACUAAGACCACGUUAUGGCUCACGGCUAUGAACGUGUUCUGGGUCACCGGUGUCUCCACGGGAACGAUUGCUCCUGAACAGGAGAAGGCGUUCAAGGAGGCUACCGUUGUGUUUCUCGGAGCAGUUCUUAGCGUGAUCGGAGGUACCUGACCAGAAGAUCGGUACAAUUAUGGAGUCUAAGGAUGCUACAUUCUUUGAGGAUAUUUUUCCUAUGAGAGAUAUGCAAAGCACUUCUAGACAGGAAUCUGAGGAGACUCCUGAACCUGCCAUCCCUAUGGAAUAUUAUGAACAAACACAUGAUGAAAAUCCCGAGGAGGAUGACGAGGAAACCCUUGGUAGGGGCAAGAGACAAAGGACUGCAAAGACCUUUGGUGAUGAUUUCUUCGUGUACCUCGUGGAUGAUACUCCCACUUCUAUUUCAGAAGCGUAUGCCUCUCCAGAAGCUGACUACUGGAAGGAUGCGGUUCGUAGCGAGAUGGAUUCCAUCAUGGCUAACGGGACAUGGGAGAUCACUGACCGUCCCUAUGGUUGCAAACCACUGGGAUGUAAGUGGGUGUUCAAAAAGAAGCUUAGGCCCGAUGGUACGAUUGAAAAGUACAAGGCUAGGCUUGUGGCCAAGGGCUAUGACCAGCAAGAAGAGGAAGAUUUCUUUGAUACUUAUUCACCUGUGGCUAGACUGACCACCAUUCGAGUAUUACUCUCGUUGGCGGCCUCACAUGGUCUUCUCGUCCAUCAGAUGGAUGUUAAGACGGCUUUUCUAAAUGGAGAGCUAAAGGAGGAAAUCUACAUGCAACAGCCUGAUGGCUUUGUGAUAGAUGGUCAGGAAAGAAAGGUGUGUAGGUUGAUAAAAUCUUUAUAUGGCCUGAAACAAGCACCUAAGCAAUGGCAUGAUAAGUUUAAUACAACUCUGACAUCUGUUGGUUUUGUUGUUAAUGAGGCUGACAAAUGUGUAUACUAUCGCCAUGGUGGGGGCGAAGGAGUUAUACUGUGCUUGUAUGUUGAUGACAUACUGAUAUUCGGAACAAACCUCAAAGUCAUUGAGGAGGUCAAAUCGUUUCUAUCUCAGAACUUUGAGAUGAAAGACCUUGGUGUGGCUGAUGUUAUCUUGAACAUCAAGCUACUGAGAGAUAAUGAGGGUGGGAUCACACUUCUGCAAUCCCAUUACGUUGAGAAGGUGUUGAGUCGUUUUGGAUAUUUGGACUGCACACCAUCUCAAACACCAUAUGAUCCUAGCGUAUUGAUUCGAAAGUCCAAAGGCAUGGCUAAAGAUCAAUUGAGAUACUCUCAAAUCAUUGGUUCACUGUUUCCUGGAAUUCUUGCAAGCAAACGAUCUUAACGAGAUCGACAAUGGAAGCAGAAUUAAUGGCAUUAGACACAUCUGGUGUUGAAGCGAGAUGGCUUCGAGAUCUUUUGAUGGACUUGCCAUUGGUUGAUAAACCGGUUCCGGCUAUCCUUAUGAACUGUGACAAUCAGACUGUCAUCACCAAGGUGAAGAGUUCAAAGGACAACAUGAAGUCCACCAAACACAUAAGAAUGAGAUUAAAAGCUGUCAGAAAAUUAAGAAACUCCGGAGUGAUAGCGUUGGACUAUGUCCAUACGGCUAAGAAUCUGGCAGAUCCCUUUACAAAAGGGCUAUCACGUGUUGUGAUAGAUAAUGCAUCGAGGGAGAUGGGUAUGAGACCCACAUGAGUUGCCAUGGUGGUAACGCAACCUAUAUGAUCGGAGAUCCCGUGAACUAGGACCUGGGAAAACAAGCCAGUGGUGAACUGAGGAGAGUAACUAUACUAACCCACUCCGUUGGAGAUGCAAUACUCUCGAUACUGUAUGGUAGGAUGACUAUGGUCUCAAUGUGUUCCAAAGCUUAUAAAAGCAAGAUGAUAUCCUACAGAGCGAUCUUUGGAGGAACACACCUAUAUGAGCCCGACUGCUGGUCACAGUCUAUGAGAUUGGGGUGAUCUCUAGUAAGCUCAUGAAUAGGCCAGGAGUGUGACUUAUAUGCUCCACCCGAGGGGUCAGCCUUCGGCAGCCUAGUACUAGUAAGACAUGUAGUGAAACUUCUUUACGCCAAACUGACAAUUCAAGGCAUAGUCCAUUGUUCAGUUGUGAAGGAGUGUAGCCACUUGUUCUAGGUGAAGUUCAACCUUAACAGGUCUUUACUGAAAUACUGGUAUAUCGAAACAGCAAUUGGAACAGAGGACACAAUGGGCCCUCGAGAUCUGGUGGGGGAUUGCUGAAAUCUGAGAUGGGCUCUAGGCCCAUAUUGCAAUUUCUGAAAAAUCUCUAAGGGCCCAUGUGGGUUAUAUGGCACUAGGUGUGGUGGGAAGUUUAGUCCCACCCCGGAAGUGGAAGGAGAGCUGGAGUGGUUUAUAAGGGCUUCUCUUCUACAUGCUAUUGGAGCUUGAGAAGAGAAGAGGCCCUCGCGCACUCCUCCUCCGCCGCCCGCCUCGCCACGCCACGCCUCGUCACGACGCGCCGCGGGUUGCGGGAUUGAGCCGAGCCGAGCUCACACCUACGCGCUUAUUUUUGCCAGUCACUAACGGAGAGUUUUCUGACAGCUGGGCCACGAUCUGAGACGUCGGAUCAUGGGCUGUCACGGACUCGGACGUGGGUCGAGCCCACGUCUCUCCACGCGGCUGCGCCUAUAAGUAUGCGGUGUCUCCUAACCCUAGCCGCCACGAACAGAUCACAUCUGCUCACGCGCACGCCCACCGUCGUUCCUUUGCUGCUGCUGCCGCCGGUGACUCCAUCCCGUCCGCCACGUACACGGUCGACGGGAGAGCAGGUCUCCGAAACCACGCCCUUCUGGUUCCUGUACGGGGUGAGGGGCGAAUAGGUUUUUGGGCAGCGAUUACGCGACUGCUCGCUUCCGAUCGUCUACUUCCUCUACGUCCGCGUCGCCUUCGUCAUCACCAUGUCCACCGACGCCGACCGUGCCGCCGCCGAGAAAGCUGAAGCCAACAAGAAGGUCGCCGAGGACGCCGCUGCUGCCACCAAAGCCGCGGCCUCUGCGUGGCCUACUGGAGGGUAUAACUCGUUUAUCCCGCUCCUGAUUAUUUUCAUAUUAGCAGUACUAGCAGUAUGUGUAGAUUUGUCUACUGUUUGCUUAGUACGUGCAUGUUUAGAUCAGAGUCAGUACGUCAUCAACUUAGUCAAUGCCAUGCUAGUGAUUUACUCAUGGAUUAAUUUAAUCGAGAAAUUGCCUAUUUACUCAACAAUCCAAAAACCUAUUAUGUGUAGGAAUUUCUCGGCAAGUGGCUUUGCCGCUGCACUGAAACCGGAUAAGUUUACCGGUACAUACUUCAAGCGUUGGCAGAGUAAGACCACGUUAUGGCUCACGGCUAUGAACGUGUUCUGGGUCACCGGUGUCUCCACGGGAACGAUUGCUCCUGAACAGGAGAAGGCGUUCAAGGAGGCUACCGUUGUGUUUCUCGGAGCAGUUCUUAGCGUGAUCGGAGAUAAACUGGUCGACGCAUAUUUACAUGUGCAUGUCGCCAAGGACUUGUGGGAGGCGCUCGAAUCUAAAUUCGGGGCCGCCGAUGCAGGGAGCGAGAUGUAUAUUAUAGAGCAGUUCCAUGAUUACAAGAUGGUUGAAAACCGUCCUGUAUUGGAGCAGGCUCAUGAGAUAAUAUGCAUUGUUAAGGAACUUGAGCUUCUCAAGUGCGAGGUACCGGGCAAGUUUGUCGCGGGCUGCAUAAUCGCUAAGCUCCCUAAUUCCUGGAGGAACUUUGCCACCACUCUGAAACAUCAGAGGCGUGAAUUCUCUGUGGAGGAUGUCAUUGGCCAUCUGAGUGUUGAGCAGAAUUCGAGGGCAAAAGACUCGCACGGAAAAGGGGCCGAAGGGACUUCUGUUGCCAACAUGGUGAACCAGAAGAACUUCUACUCCCACAAGCCCAAGGGAAAGAACGGUGUCCAACACAAUACCGACUUUAAGAAGAAGGGUAAGAAGACCUUCAAUAAGAACAAGAAGGACGAGGGCUGCUUUACUUGUGGUUCGGUUGAACAUUGGGCCAACAAGUGCCCAAACAAGUACAAGAAGUCAGGACAGGACUCCAAGUCUGUCAACAUGAUUGUGGGCAACAAUGAGAAUGGUGCAUCUGGGUACGGUAAUUUAUUUACUGUUUUUUCAGUGUUUCAACCCAACGAGUGGUGGGUGGACACAGGUGCAGGUGUUCAUGUGUGUGCUGACAUUUCAUUGUUCACUUCUUACCAGGUCACAGGUCACGGGUCCGUAUUGAUGGGGAAUGGCGCGAGUGCUUCUGUUCAUGGUGUUGGCACGGUCGAUCUGAAGUUUACUUCGGGAAGGAUCGUGCAGCUGAAGAACGUGCAGCAUGUCCCCGCCAUCAAGAAGAACCUCGUUAGUGGCUCCCUUCUAUGUAGAGAAGGGUUUAAGUUGGUUUUCGAGUCUAAUAAAUUAGUUGUUACAAAAUAUGGACUCUUUGUUGGAAAAGGUUAUGAGAGCGGAGGGAUGUUCCGCCUUUCCCUCGCAGAUUUUUGUAAUAAAGUCGUGAACCAUAUUCAUUCGAAUGUUAAUGAAUCUGAAGUUUGGCAUUCACGUCUUUGUCACAUUAGUUUUGGUGUUAUGANNNNNNNNNNNNNNNNNNNNNNNNNNNNNNNNNNNNNNNNNNNNNNNNNNNNNNNNNNNNNNNNNNNNNNNNNNNNNNNNNNNNNNNNNNNNNNNNNNNNGAGCAGAACACCGCGGAUCUAAUCAGCCAACGAAUAAAGCCGAGGCAGGUAGAGGAAGUAAGGGAGGAAGAAGACUGACUUGUCCUGGUCGCCCUCGUAGUAGAACAUGGUGAACGGGAUGACGAGGAAGACGAGGACAGCGUCGAGGAUGUAGACGACGAGCCAGAGCGUCUUCAUGGGCAGGAUAAGGGCGCAGGCCCCGUUGUAGGCGGCGUGCUUGCAGGUCUGGCGGUUGGCGACGUCAGCGGGGAGCAUGAGGAUGGAGAGGACGGCGACGGUGAUGCCGAGCACGACGACGAGCUUGGGGAAGUAGGCCUGGUUGGCAUCAUCCGGGUGCUGGUAGUUGACGAGCAUGUAGACGCUGACGAGGAGCACCAGGAUGCUGACCACCGCCGCCACGAUCACUAGCGCCACGUUAAAAACCCCAUCUCCUCGGGGCUCCGGUCCCGGUUCCGGCCCGCCGCCUCGCCCCCGUUGGUCGGUCAGAUCUCUCUGUCCCUAGAGGCGGGGGGAUACAGGCUAGGGUUUGGGCGUGGGCGGGGAAUAGGCUGCUAUGGUGCCGGCAGCGGGGCGGCCACCGGCGGGGAGGGCGGGAUCCGCGCGGGGUGGCGGGAUUUGGGCAGGCGGUGGGCUCGGGGGAGGGCGGUGGCAGCGAAGCAGCAGGGAGGGGCUGGAGGAGAUGAAACGAAAGAGGUCGCGUGACACAGCGACAGCGUCGUCCAAUCCCCUCGCUGCCGAUUUAAAAAAAGGUAAUGAUAACUCCCGAACGUUCAGGAGUUAAGCAUGGCAACCCGAACGGGUUUAGAUGGCAAGUUUAGUUUGCGUGAGAUUAGGGAAACAUGGCAAUUUUCUGACAAAAGAAAUGAAAAAGGACGAAGUUGCCAUCCCCUAUCAACUAAAGUUGCCAUCCCCUAUGAACUAAAGUUGCCAUGUAAAAACGUUCGGGAUGAAAUGCUCAAAAUCCGAACGUUCGGAAGUUAUUGGAUUCAAAAAAAAUCCCCUUGCUGCCAAUCGCUGGCCCGUUUCUUUUUUCACCCAAUCGCUAGGUGAUGACGUGGCUAUCACGGGAAGGCGCCCUUGAUGCGUAGUCGAAUGGUUUUAAUUAAUAGGAAGCGAGUGCUUACUCUAGUUACUGAAUUAUGUACACCAAAUAAAGCCAUUUACACGUAGUUAAUGACAAAAAAAGUUGAUGUUUGCUACGCAAACGUGUAGUACAAAUUAAGAAGUGCAAGAUAAAAAAAAAUGCUGGUCCUUGAUUCGUUGUUGAUCGUCAGCAUGCCAUCAUCAAUUUGUAGUUAAUUAUCAUACAAAUUGGCUCUUUCAUAGAGUUGGAGGCUAGCUCCUUUGAUCAGCACGCGCUUAAACAUAAACAGCACGUAUAUGUUUUGUCUCCGGAGUUCAAUUCUUCAUCGGCCAGCAAAAAUGGCCCGACCGGGUAGAGGAAAAGGCAUGUUUGUUAGUACGCCUGGAGGAAAUGCCUUUGAUUAGGGCAUCUUCAACAGCGACCAGUAAAUUUCCUCCCGCGUUCGUCCACGGAUAGGGGAUCAGUCCGCGGAUACGGAUACAGGAAUCAUCUAUCUAACGCUGUCCGCGUAUAUUUCAAACACAUUUUUUUAAAAAAAUAGGAUGAAAUUCAUGUAAACACAAUGGAUUUCAUACAAACCGGACAAAAAUGUUUACAUUUUGGACAUAUUUUUUUUACUAAAAACUCUACAGCCGGCGCCGGCGAAUAUCCACUCCGGCGACAUGGAACCCUUGACUAGUCUACUGCCGGCCGCAGCGGAUCUCCAAUGUCGUCCCCAUGUCCGGCAACUAUGAGCCCUAGAGGUAUAUGCUUCAGCGCAAAGAGCGGCUCACCUCCCUACCGCUCAUCGGAGUGGAACAACCAGCUGAUGCUUCUGCCGAUGGAAAGGGUCCCUACGCUACACGGAUUAGAGUUGGUUUUGGGCUGGGAACGGCGGUGGCCUGCCAGAGGGCAAGACACCGACUGUGUAUGCUGGUGUCACCUGGUGUGGCAUUCGUGGGACCCAAGCGGCAGCGCCUCCUCGAUGAUGGCGGCGAGCGCGGACGUGUUGGACACCACCUCGUCGAUGUCCGUGCAGCCCGCUUCUUUCUCUGUAGGAAGGACGCUGUUACGCUCGCGUUGACAUCGGAUGACUCGGUCACAUGCACGGGAGGGGCGGUACGACAUGGCACCGCCAAUGGCAGCCAUGAUGCCCGCGCCAGCGUGCUCUCUCCCAGUGCCGACCUAGAGCAACUUGCCACUCCUCUGCUCGUGAACGGUAGGCUUGACGGGCCACCUAGCCAUUUUUUAUGCCAGACAACUCUUCUUCCUGCUCGUCAGAUGUCAUGGAUAAAACUGUUUAAGGAGGAAAAUGAUGAGUGGACGUGUGAUGCGGUUCUUGCCCAACAUCUGACAUUGUUUAAAUAGCGAGGGGACACGAGAGGAGCCAACUGGCGUUCUGUUUAAUGCCAACCGGCUCGCGAACGAACAUGUGGCUGGAGUAAUUAUCCUGGCACACACGCGGGUUUAAUGGUGGAAGGUGGGCAGUCUGCAGGAAUGAGGCGAGGAUGUGUGCUUAGCAGGCGUGCAGCAGGCGGCGCCCUCGGCCGGCGUGCUGCAUCCAUUGCGGAGGCAGUGAGAGGUCGCGUCCGCUCUGCAGCGCAUGAAUGCGGGCAGCUGGCGCAGAGCGGGAACGCGUGCGGGCGAGGGAGGAGGGGGUUUGGGCGGGUGGUCAGAAGAGGUCGUGGGUGUUGUCCGAACGCCUGCAAAGCCCCCCUCCAUGUUUGUCUCCAGUUUGCAGGAGAAAGUACGUCCGAACCGUCUCCAAUGGACCAAUACAGGCCCGCAUUGGAUGGCACAACACGUCCGGACCAUGUGGUCCGGAUGGUUGUGGACAGUUUAAUUGAGGGUCGGCGUUGGAGAUGCCUUAGAGUUUAUGAAUCCAUUGUGUUUUUCUAAUCAUAAAAAAGCACUUACAAUAAGUUAUAAGGAAAGACACGUUUAUAUGUUAGGUUCAGACUCCAGCUUUCGUUUUACAUAUGCUUUAUUCAUCCGACUGAUUCCAAUAGAGUGAGCCUAGCGUUGUUUUUCUGGAAACUCGCGGGAUAAGGAGACAUGCAUACACAUUCUUUCAAGCAAAUCACAUCCAUCCUUUUUAACUCAUUUUUCUUCUUUUAAUAAUAUAAUAGAUCAUUUAUAUUUUUAUCUGAAACAGUUGACGUGUAAUUUAUAUUGUAAUCUGAGGAUAAUGUUUGGAUUUUACUUUCAAAUAUAUUUGAAAUGGCCAUGAUGGAAUCACAUCCAUUUAUUUUAUUAUUAUUUGAAUUUGAUCCAAAAGAUAAAUAAUGAGUAGAGGUCAUGUCAACUUUUCUGAGAACUUUGCUAAUCAAAAUAUAAAUUGUAUUUAAAAACAUCUAUUUUUUAGCACGCAUGAAAAAGAUAACACGUAUCUUUUCACACAUAAUGAACGGUUGUCAUAAGAACUCAUGCCAUGCCACAACCUCCCUCCGACCCUGCCAACAUUGUUGCAGCUGCACUCGCAAGCCUUAGCGUAGAUGAUAAUUUAUACAAUUUGCGUAAAACAAAAUAAGAUCUACAAAUGAAUAGAAGCUAGAACGUACAUUGGCAUGCACACACAUUGCAAGCCAUACUAAGCUGAUAAGUGUUAAUAACUUGUACAACAUAUACAACACUUAAGACAAGUAAAAGCAAUUUGAUGAGUCAUGGUCUAUCAAAGCCACAUUACUAGUCUAAUCCAUCUUAACAGGUCACACAUGAUUAAAAUCUUGUUUGUGUGCAAGUCAAGCUUAUCUAGUUUACAUGUAACAACUUGUAGAACAUUACAAAAUUUAUGUUUGCUAAUAACUUCUAGAACACUACAACACUUGACAUGUAAAAGGAAUUUGAUGAGUCAGCGUACUAAAGCAAGUUAUAUUACUAGUCUUAUCUACCUUAACAGGCCACACAAGAUUACAAACCAAGUUCUGUGCCAGCCAUGCUUAUCUAGAUUAUGCGUAACAAUUUGCAGAAAAUUACAAACUUAGUUUCAGAAAAAUAGGCAAUCUAGAUUAGUGUUUGAGCUGUAAAGUGAGUAAAAUGAGUCAUGCGUGUUAUCACACCUUUUUGGUUGUGGAAUGAUAGUGCAACAACAAGGAACUUUAAUGACCAGUUCAAGAAUACACUUGUAAGUAGUGCCACCGAACACAACAUACCAAAUUAUGAUUUUGAGAAGCAUCCAAGCACUUCCACACAAGCAAAUGCCAAUUGUGAAAGAGAUCAUGCCAUGGCAGCUAUAAAUAGGCCCGUAGCAUGACGAUCAUCCUUCCUCAUCCAUCAUUCUCAUAAGUAGAGCGCAUCAUUUAAGCCAAGCAAGCAGUGCUCAAUACAAAUCCACCAUGAAGACCUUUCUCAUCCUUGCCCUCCUUGCUAUUGUAGCAACCACCGCCACAAUUGCAGUUAGAGUUCCAGUGCCACAAUUGCAGCCACAAAAUCCAUCUCAGCAACAACCACAAGAGCAAGUUCCAUUGGUACAACAACAACAAUUUCCAGGGCAGCAACAACCAUUUCCACCACAACAGCCAUAUCCGCAGCCGCAACCAUUUCCAUCACAACAACCAUAUCUGCAGCUGCAACCAUUUCCGCAGCCGCAACUACCAUAUCCGCAGCCGCAACUACCAUAUCCGCAGCCGCAACUACCAUAUCCGCAGCCGCAACCAUUUCGACCACAACAACCAUAUCCACAAUCGCAACCACAGUAUUCGCAACCACAACAACCAAUUUCGCAGCAGCAGCAGCAGCAACAACAACAACAACAACAAAAACAACAACAACAACAACAACAACAGAUCCUUCAACAAAUUUUGCAACAACAACUGAUUCCAUGCAGGGAUGUUGUAUUGCAACAACACAGCAUAGCGUAUGGAAGCUCACAAGUUUUGCAACAAAGUACUUACCAGCUGGUGCAACAAUUGUGUUGUCAGCAGCUGUGGCAGAUCCCCGAGCAGUCGCGGUGCCAAGCCAUCCACAAUGUUGUUCAUGCUAUUAUUCUGCAUCAACAGCAACAACAACAACAACAACAACAACAACAACCGUUGAGCCAGGUCUCCUUCCAACAGCCUCAACAACAAUAUCCAUCAGGCCAGGGCUCCUUCCAGCCAUCUCAGCAAAACCCACAGGCCCAGGGCUCUGUCCAGCCUCAACAACUGCCCCAGUUUGAGGAAAUAAGGAACCUAGCGCUAGAGACGCUACCUGCAAUGUGCAAUGUCUAUAUCCCUCCAUAUU
rnacentral:lncRNA from 1 species